rnacentral:rRNA from 1 species
AGUGAACGCUGGCGGUAGGCCUAACACAUGCAAGUCGAACGGCAGCACAGUAAGAGCUUGCUCUUACGGGUGGCGAGUGGCGGACGGGUGAGGAAUACAUCGGAAUCUACUUUUUCGUGGGGGAUAACGUAGGGAAACUUACGCUAAUACCGCAUACGACCUACGGGUGAAAGCAGGGGAUCUUCGGACCUUGCGCGAUUGAAUGAGCCGAUGUCGGAUUAGCUAGUUGGCGGGGUAAAGGCCCACCAAGGCGACGAUCCGUAGCUGGUCUGAGAGGAUGAUCAGCCACAAGGGAAGUGAGACACGGUCCAGACUCCUACGGGAGGCAGCAGUGGGGAAUAUUGGACAAUGGGCGCAAGCUUGAUCCAGCCAUACCGCGUGGGUGAAGAAGGCCUUCGGGUUGUAAAGCCCUUUUGUUGGGAAAGAAAAGAAGCAGGUUAAUAACCCGCUGUUCUGACGGUACCCAAAGAAUAAGGAACGGCUAACUUCGUG